AGGAAGAGUCACAAGAUAGCACGGCAAGGACACGAUGUGUACCGUCAGCUCCUUCUUCCCAGAGGUCCCUGAGCUUGGACAGGCUGCAGCAAGGGGCACUGCACAAGGCCAGCCACGAGGACACCAGGGACGCCACAAAAUCCCCAGGCUCUCAGGAUGGCCCCUUGAGCAGCCUCAGCAAAACUAGCAAUAGCCAGGACUCACUGAACAACGCCCCCAAGAAGAAGGGCAUCACAAAAUCCGUCCGCUGGUUGCUCACCCGAAGACAAAAGGUCCACCCCAGCCACGCUAGCGACGAGCCUGCAUGACCAGCCAAAGAAGAUGCAGCUGGUCGUCGGUCCGUGACAUGCUGACCUGCCCCAGCCCCUCGGCGACGGCGCCACGGGAGGCUCUUUGACUGGAAUGUGAACAAUGGUGGAGAAUGGCCGACUUCGUAUGUAACAAGGCUGUGGCCCGCUCAGGCUUCAAUGAUCUAAGAUGACUCCUAACUGGAUAUCAAGCUUAUCUGCUUGAAUAUUAGUGUGCUCUUCCACCUACUACAGCUAGGC